GGAAAGACGCGCAGGUGGUUGGUCAUGUGACGUCAGCCUGGGCUGAAUCUGGCUGCUGCUUUUGCGUCUUGAGAAUACCAAACUUUUCCUUCCUUGAGAACCCAGAGGAAGCUCCAGAAUGUCGUAUGGAUCUAUUGAUGGUGGCUCCUUUGGCAGCAGAAACCCAUUUGGUGGGCCCACAAGGCAGGGCUACCAGCCAGUAGCUACUCAAGUCAGCCCCUCAGAGUUGCAAGAUGUGUUCCAGGAAACCUCUUCCAACAUCUUCCAGAUUAAUGCCAAUGUGGUAACUUUAGAGAAGAGCCUUCAGUCAUUGGGAACUUCCAGAGAUACAGCCGAGCUACGGCAGAGCCUACACUCCACACAGCAGCAAACUAAUAAAGUUAUUACCAGCACAAGCCAACUUAUCAAACAGCUCUCUGACAUCAUCAGCGGCUCCUCACGGCAAGACCGGCUGCGUCUCACGAGGCUGAAGACAGAACUGUCCGAGUCAGUGCAGCGUUAUGGUGACCUGCAGAAGAAAAUUGCAGAUCGUUCAAGGGCCUUACUUCCACCAGCGCAAAAUGACAGAAAACAGAGCCCGCAGACACCAUUCACUGAGCUGUGUGAGGAAGGUGCACUGUUUGGAGCAGCCGAGAGUGUGGAGGGUGAAGCACAGCAGGCAUUCCUGUCUGAGAUCAGUGAGGAGGAUGUGGAGGUUCUACGCCAGAGAGAAGAGGCUUUGCUGCAGAUAGAGAGAGACAUGCUGGAUGUGAACCAGAUUAUGAAGGACUUAGCCAGCAUGGUGCACGAGCAAGGAGACACAAUAGACAGCAUUGAGGACUACAUUCAGACCACCAGCUCACAUGUGGAGUCUGCUAACCAGGAGCUCGCAAAGGCCAGCCAUUAUCAGAGGCAGCUGAGAAAAAGGAAAUGCUAUCUGCUGAUUGCUGGGGUGCUCAUUCUGACUGUCCUGAUCAUCAUCAUCGCUUUAUCAGCCAGAAAAUGAGAGAAAGCCUUUAGCAUGGCAACUAACGUGAUGCAGUAUUUACAGCAGUGCUCUUCAUGACAAGCAGUCUACCAUGCAGAUGCGAGUUCCUGCUCUGCUGUGACCUCUCCUCAGCCCUCCUCAGGCCAUCCUUUCCUUCAUCUUCCCGCCAUUCUGUCUGUCCUUCUGUUUCCCUUAGUGUGCUUGCUCUUUUUUCUGUGGUGAGAAUAAAUUGGGUGUGUGUGGACAUUUUAAGUGAUUGAAGUCAUUUUUAAUCAGGCAUUUUUACUGUACUGCUCUUUACCUCUUUAAAUUAGGCGCAUAUUAAAGAACAGACUCCAAAUGGAUUUGAUGUAGGCUGGUUGUCAGUAUGUUGAUAUUACCAUAUUUCAUUUUUUCUUCUUUUGUUUGCCCAUAUGUUCACCACUUGCUGCUUCUUGACACUGUAUUCAUAUAUUAAAUAGUACAAUAGUAAAAUAUGUGUACAUUCAUUUUUCUAGAGCACAAGGUAACAUAUGGAAACGAAAUGUUAAAUAUUUAUUUUGGGAAUGAUGGAUUCAGCUUCGGGCAGGGAGUUUUUGCUAAUGUAUGCGUAUCUGUAUCAUAUAAUUAAUUAAACAGUGACAUGUA